rnacentral:tRNA from 1 species
GCGGCGUUGGUAUAUAGGAUGUGCCCUAGCCUUCCAAGCUGGAGAAAUCGAUUCGAGUUCGAUACGCCGCUCCA